CAGCAAGCACGCUGCAACUCUCCCGGCGCGCGGCCGGCGAGGGCCAGCAUCCGCGGCGAAGGGGAGCGAGAAGGAGGCCGCGCGCUUCUUCUCGUUCCUCUCUCACCGGCGGCGGCCGUCCCAUUCGAGGCGGCUCGAUCUGGUUCGGUUCGGUUCGGUGGAGACCACCCCUCGUCCAUCCCGCGCUGCCGCUCACUAGCCACCAACCAGGCAGUGGCCGUCGCCGUCGCCCAUUGCCAUUACCGGCUAGCCUGGACCUUAGGAAGGCAUUGGUGUAUUUGCAAGUUAAGUUGAAUGAAGCAAUGAUAAUUUAUUUGGAGGACCAAUCCAGGUGAAAGAAUCUUACACUGACAUCUGCUAUUUGGGUAGCUGCUUGGCUCGUAUGAGCACGGAUGCAUAUCAACCCACGAGCUAUAUGAGGCCCAGCGUGGUGAGGAUCUUCCUAUUUUGAGCUAUUCGGUGAUGAUCUAAAUGUUUCCUUUAAUAGCCAAUAGGUGAGAUCGAAGAUUUCUCAUCUAACAUCUAGUUUAUGUUAUCUCCAUGAAAGUUCUGGCAAUCGGAAGUAUGGUCUCUGAAAAUGACUCCUCAAAGGCCAACCCACUCGUAUGGCUGGAAAGAUGAAAGAAUUUUUAUGUUGAUAUGUUCCUGUCAGUCAACAGUAAGGUUGCCAUAUUUAUAUGGCAUCAGGAUUCUUUAUCUCGGUAUUUACUGUAGUGUGCAAUGCCUUUGUGGACUCCAAAGCCACUCCUGUAGUUAUCUAAUCAAUCAACUGGCCCGCUAGCCCAAAUACUUUUGUUAUAUUUACAGUAUGAUAUAAAUAUAAUGGUACACCUCAGAUUGGACUGACAACGAGAUGUGGUGUAGAUGGACAUCAAAGUGAAAUGAUAAAACAUGUCCCUUUCAAAAGAACUUAGACUCCACCAGUAUGGAAUAUUUAUCUUUAACGUCAGCUGUGGACAUACUGAGCUCCAGUCCUGCACGCAGUACGUGGUACGGGAUGCUCAUUAAAGGUCUCCCCAUCUUACAAUUGUGAUGCAAUUUCAGCAUCUAUAUAUGAUUUUGCUUGGAACUUCUUUAUCAUGUAGUUCGGCUCCUGUUCAUAACAAGGCUAGUUAGUGCAUGCAAUAAUUCACACAAGCUUGCGAUCUGAUUCCCUCACGAAUUGCUUUACUAACAGUGGAGAUAUUGGUGUGCCAUACACAAUGCUUAUAAUAAAGCACUGUUCAAUGCAGAAGUCUAGGGUACAAAGGAGGUGGGUAAUGGGAAGAGGGGUCCCAUAGCAAUGUUAACCAUGAGAGAUGGGUUGGUUAUUGAGGCCAUGUGCAACGGGAGGGCACAAGUGGGGAACAGGGAUUGCACGGGAUAACAUGGGAGCCAUGUCUCUCCAUGUUGCCUAGUGUGUAUUUGUGUAUAGCUUUCAUUCUUGGCUGGACUCCUCUGGCAAGGGAAUAGCCACCACCAAACUCAUAAUUCCCCGCACUUCGGCUUUACAUCUCUCUUACCCUUUUCCUACCUCUAGUAGCAACCAGAUGAAAUAGAAGCUUUACUAUUUGCCCCCUUUUCCAUUUUACUUUUGCGGAUCCCAUUCCAACUGGUGGUCAUCCUUGCGGCGAUGUGCAAGAGAAUUUUUUCUGAGGAUGGUGUGUAAGAGAAUUCGUUCUUUCGGACGCGAUGCUUUGUUGAGUUAGGGUUUUCGACAAAGUGAACAAAAUCGAUUCCUUGAAAGCUACCAAGUAGUUAGAUGGCUCAGCUUUGAGCUCGAAGUAUU